UUUGGCUCCUAUUUUCCCUUAGUAAUUGAAGGGUUGGAUCUGAGAUAUUUCUAAUUGUAAAAGCCAAAUCCAUGACUCCGACAAUGAAACACAUAUCAGAACUUGCUGCUGUCAAUCACUGGACUUAAACGUGGGAUGCCCUCUCUGGAUAGAGGACACAGCCUGGCAGCUGUUUCCCCACUGUCUCCCCAGCCUGUGCUCUGGCCUACAUUGGGAUCUGCCCGAGGUCUUGCACACGGUAAAUAAGCACUCUACCUCUGGACUGCAUCUGCAACCAAAGACACUCUCAAGAGGCGAUGCGUUUCAAGGCUUAGAGCUCACUUCCUGGGAGGCACACGUAUCACCAGGAGAUUAUUAUAUCUGGUCCACACUCCUGAUCAUGAAAUUUUGAACAAUGAGUUGGAACAGACUGAAAAUGAAACGAAGUUGGGCCCACUUCCCUAGAAGUAGAGAAACAGACAGCCAGGACUCCAGAGUUGUGACUGGACCAGCCAAAGACCACUCAGCAACAGCAUGAUCAAGAAAGGAAAUAAAUUGCCUUCAAUCUCGAAAGCACCAAGAAGACACCAUCUCUUAACCUCCAAGAGCCUCAUUUAAUUACCUACGGUGAUGCCAACUCAACGGACCACCUAUCCCAAUUAAGCGGCAGCGCGUGCUAAUUAUCAUUAGACUUAAUUGGUUUCCCAAUUCAGCAACUUCCCUGAUCAAGUCUGCCCCAGUUAAGUGGCAUUUAUUGAACUACCUGAAUCUUGCUUAAACGAAACAAAAGAAGAAUCCCAGCUCAAGUUCAGCAAAUAUAACCUACUUUCACCAAGUCACAGUAGCCAGCUUCUAAUUAAUUUUGCAAAGCAAACAACUAGGAUUGGGAACAGGUAUCAUCGUGUCUUCUGAUUAGAAUGGGUAUUUUAGUAAAAAUCAAAUAAGAAUAAGCAAAACAUUUCAAACAAUCAGCAAAUGUGUGGAAAUGAACAAAUAUUUACUAACAUACUCCCUUUUCCUCCUCAGAAGUAUUUUUUGACAACGCUGUUGUGACUGUUUCAUCCUCUCAUACGGUCUGCUCUUGAGAGCAGAGCUCCUCUCUUUGGCAAUAACACAUCUUCUGAGAGUGGGUAUGCAUGUCGAAGGGGAAGUUGUUCUCUUAGGCUCAGCAUUCCCAGAGAAGAGUGUGUGCACAAUAGUUCACUAUCCUAUGCAGCUGGGUAUGGUGGCCCAUGGCUAAGAUCCCAGGAUUCAGCUUGUUGAACCAGGAGGGUCAUGGCAAGGCAGCCUGGGUGAAAUUGUGAGAUGCUGUCUCAAAAAGGAAUAAUAAAUAGUUGAAUUUGCAUCAGUAAAAUAGAUCACAGGGAAGCUGAGUACUUGAGCAAUACUCAAGAAGACCUUAGUUCAUUGGGUUUUAUAGUGUACACAGGUUUUCAAAAAUUGGGGUGGAAUGUAGCAGGAAGGUUAACUGUCCUUUUGGAAUGCUCUGUUCAUAUGUGGUAGCAAUGGUAAAGAUAAGUGAGCUCUGGUGUUGAAGGUGGUGGUUAGUGAGUCCAAGUCUGCACAGUGUAUAAACUGUGUCUUCCUCUCUGAAUGGGCUUGAGUUGUCCUUUGAGCAAUGCUGGAAUUCUCAGCUCAGACUCCUCCUGGUAGACUUGAGAGUGAGGGCGGUAUCAAAGAAGGAACGUGUUAUCCUGACAGUCACGCGUUCCCUCGGUUCAAACCGCCAAUAAUAGGAUAAAAGGGAAAGAUAGCAGGACCUGGCAGAAUUGGGGUUCAUCCUGCAAUGAGUUUUCAGAUUGUUUUCCAGGGUGUUAAGGUCUGUUUCUCCACAUCUAAGAAAGAGCCUUAUGGUCAAAGUCGCCUUGGAGAAGGAGACAAUGGUCAUGAGGAUAGAUGCCCACCUCAGAGUACAGUAUACUCCAGCAGUGGCAUCUCUUGGCUAGACUGGACGGCAUGCUACCCACUGUUCAAGUAGGAUUUAUCUUUGCUAAGCACAACCAAUCAUCAGGAUUUUCGGAACUGCCAUCAGAAUCGCUGUUUGGGGAAUGAAGGGUGGGGAGAGGAGGAUUGUGGGCAGGACAGGAUGAGUGUGUACAGACAUGGGCUUGGGGAACGAGCUACUUGAGAUGAAAACUCUAGCACUCACUCUCUUUGACAAGGGUUGUCCCAACCUAAGGUGAUGACGGAUGUAUCAGGGAACCCAACGUUGGAGACUGGAGAGGUUGCUCAAUGCUUAAGAGGCCUUGAUGCUCUUCCAGAGAACCCAAAGUUGGUUUCCAGAACCCCAUCCAUGGCUUACAACCUCCUGGAACUUCAGCUCCAGGGGAUCUGACACCCUCCAGACCUUCUUGGAUGCCUGCUCUCAGGUGCACAAAUGAGGAUAAAUAUUAAUCUUUUUAUAAAAGAAUCCCAAAGCUAAUCAACAGAAGAUCCCAACCUUGCAAAGCUGGUGGUGUCAAGAACGCACAUUCUCAGAAGGGAAAGUAACACAGAUGCUUUUUGGAACUGUCAUUAUUUUUCCAGCCAUUUCUAUGAUACUGCAGUAAGACAACUUUAUUUCACAAAUGGAGAAUAACAAUAACAAUAAUAAAUUAUGAUAUGAACAUAAUAGGUCUCGAUUUUAUUGAUACAGGGCUGAAAAUGCUUCAAAGUUCCCCUACCCAAAAAGUGUUUCAACAAAAAGUGGUCUUCCUUCAAGAAGCUAAUGCAUAGUGUCUGAGCUGAUGGAACUAUUACUUCGGUAGAGAGCACUGCAGGCACCACAGGACACGGAGCAACUUAGUUCUCUAGAAGGCU